rnacentral:misc_RNA from 1 species
UUAACUAUUAUAUAGUACUCAGACAUCACUAAACAAACGAGUUUGGGUCCUCUGGCAGGCGCGGUCAGCGUCAGCCGACGCCCGAAGGUCGGCGGCCUGCCAAAGCAACAAAGGUAUGUAUACACGGUUUGGGAAUAGGACCCAUUUCGAAAAACGGGGCAUUCUUUAAUGAUCCUUCCGCAGGUUCACCUACGGAAA